GUCAAUAUACCCGAGUAGCAUUAUUUUGGUUCACGGUCGGUUCAAGCGACCCACGAGUGCUGGGAGAGUUCUAUGUUCAAUAAUGAACCGUGUAAUUUUUUAUAAGUUCCAGGAAAGUUCAGCGUUCAAUAAAUAACCGAACAAUUUUUAGUAAGUGCUGGGACCGUUCAAUGUUCAAAAUAAUUGUACGGAUUCAUCAAAGUUCUUUCAUUAUAAUGAAAGAAUCGUUGUAACGGUUAUAGCCAUUCAAAUAGUUUUAUUCACUUAUAUUGUUAUUAAACAUAUUAUCCCUUGAUUAGUACAUUAAUAAAAAAAACUUUAAAAUAAUAGUUAUAAAUUAUUUUCAUUGAGACUAUAGCGCAAAUUUAACAUACGAACUUUUGGCGGAAUAACCAGACGUGUCAGUAACCGUUGACCAACAGCUUUAGUUCGCGCGAUUUUUAUUUGUUAUUUAAUUUUUACUGUGACAUUUUUUCAAAUUAUCAACGAUCGUUUUACUCUCUUUACAAAUUAUGUUUUGAGACAUUCGCCAUUUUCACAGCGACUAGAUAACUUGUCAAGACUGCUCUUUAUCCCUGUUCACUCUCACAUAUAUAUUUAACUGAAAAGUUCAAUAAAAUAAAAAUGUUUUGUUGCUUAAAGUGGGUACCAUUAAAAGUUUCAGUGCAUAUACGAGAACAGCAUUUGAUUUUUGUAUGACAAGAGAAAUGGCCUCAAAUUUUAGUUUUUGUGACAACACCAAAUAGAUGCUAUGUCUGGCUAAAUCAUAAUACCUGAACACGAAAGAACAUUUAACAAAAUAAUAGCUAAUAUUUUAAAGCAUUCUGGUAAUAAAACAUCACAGCAAUAAAAUCCUUUUUUUUUUUUAUUAUUCAAUCAACAUUUCAUUUUUUUGUAAAUGAUUUUUAAAAUUUAUUCACUUAGAUUAUUUCACAGUUUUUUUAUUAAUAGUGAAAACAAAGUA